AGCAAUAUGGCUUAGUGGAAAGAGCAUGGGUCUGGAAAUCAGAUGACCUGGGUUCUAAUACCGGUUUUGCCA
rnacentral:tRNA from 1 species